rnacentral:rRNA from 1 species
AGGUGGGGUAAAGGCCUACCUAGGCGACGAUCAGUAGUUGGUCUGAGAGGACGACCAGCCACAUUGGAACUGAGACACGGUCCAGACUCUUACGGGAGGCAGCAGUGAGGAAUUUUCUGCAAUGGGCGCAAGCCUGACAGAGCAAUACCGCGUGAGGGAUGACUGCCUACGGGUUGUAAACCUCUUUUCUCAAGGAGGAAGAUCUGACGUUACUUGAGGAAUAAGCAUCGGCUAACCCUGUGCCAGCAGCCGCGGUAAUACAGGGGAUGCAAGUGUUAUCCGGAAUUAUUGGGCGUAAAGCGUCUGCAGGUUGAUAUGUAAGUCUUUUGUUAAAACUUUGAGCUUAACUCAAAUUCCGCAAAAGAAACUAUUUAUCUUGAGUAUGG